GACGAACGCUGGCGGCGUGCUUAACACGUGCAAGUCGAACGGAAGGGCCCUGCUUUUGGGGGGUGCUCGAGUGGCGAACGGGUGAGUAACACGUGAGUAACCUGCCCUUGACUUUGGGAUAACUUCAGGAAACUGGGGCUAAUACCGGAUAGGAGCUCCUGCUGCAUGGUGGGGGUUGGAAAGUUUCGGCGGUUGGGGAUGGACUCGCGGCUUAUCAGCUUGUUGGUGGGGUAGUGGCUUACCAAGGCUUUGACGGGUAGCCGGCCUGAGAGGGUGACCGGCCACAUUGGGACUGAGAUACGGCCCAGACUCCUACGGGAGGCAGCAGUGGGGAAUAUUGCACAAUGGGCGGAAGCCUGAUGCAGCAACGCCGCGUGCGGGAUGACGGCCUUCGGGUUGUAAACCGCUUUCGCCUGUGACGAAGCGUGAGUGACGGUAAUGGGUAAAGAAGCACCGGCUAACUACGUG
rnacentral:rRNA from 1 species